ensembl:lncRNA
AUGGAUCACACAGUCUUAGCCUGCAACCUACAGGGCCCAGCUGUCAGGUGCCCCCAGGACGACUGGCCCCGCCCCCAAGCGUCCCAGGCCGGCCCCGCCCCCGCCUCCGUGCCCUGCGCCUGCGCGCAGGUGCUCCCACGUGGAUGGCCUGCCCCUCUGAGGGGCAUUCAGAAGCAAAGCGAGGUUCGGUCUCCUUUUCUCUCUUUGCGGCUUUCCUUAUGCGUGCCCAGCCCGAGUUCUAAUUGCACAAUUUGCUAUUCUAGCAACAGAUGUGUGAGCCCUGAGGUCUCCAGUCUUCCUGUUUCCCGUCUUGCUGGGCUCCUAUCUCAGCUGAUCUGUUUUCAGCUUCACGAAGAAGAUUCCUCAUCACUGCCCAGCCCCACGGUCUCCAUUAGGGUUGGAGCUUCAGAUGAGGAUUGUUCACCCCUCUACACACCUGACAUCGAGGUCUUUGUGAAGGAAAGACAGCUCCAGAAACGUGUAAAUUUCGGCUUGCAAACUUAGCUUGCAAGCCUUAGUUCAUUGGGUAUUCUUCCAGUAAUAAUAAUAACGACAGCUAACAUUUUUACAUCACUGCUCUGUGCUAGUGCAGGGUGUCAUUCUAACAGGGACGGUGUUGGUUAGGUCCCUGCCCGCCCAGAGCUAACAUUCCAGGGGAGGGUGGGGAGACAGACAAUCGCCAAGUAAACAAAAGGGCCCCUUGAGAUUUCAGUAAGUGCCACAGGGAAAUGAACCGAUGUCAGAUGGGCAAGAGCCUCCAGGCAUCAAGGGGGCCCCUCAGGGGAGGUGCUGUGUCAUCUGAGGACUGAAGGUUGAGAGGUUGUCUAGGUCUGUCUCACUCUUUGGUGCCUGGCUCACGGCAUCCCCCAGCCUCCCAAAGCUCUCCUCGCAGCUCCAUUUCAUAGUUUCAGCACACUGAAAGCCCAGAGGGAGCUGCCUGGGCCACAGGAGUGAGGGAACCAGGACUGGAGCUAGGCCUCUCAGAGCCCCAAGCCCAUGUUCUUCCUAUUUUUUAAAAAAUAACUUUAUUGAAGUAUAGUUUCAAUACCAGAAAACUCACUCAUCUUACAGUACAAUUCAGUGACUUUGAGGAAAUUUACAGAGUUGUGCAACCAUCACCGCAGUUCAAUUUUAGAACAUUCUCAUCACUCCAGAAAGGUCCCUUUUGCUCAUUUGCAGUCACACCCUGUUCCCACGCCCAGCCUUGGGCAACUGCUCAUCUUCUUUCUCUGUAGGUUUGCCUUUUCUUCCCAUUUCCUACAUGUGGAGUCACACAUUAUAUGGUCUUUUGCGUCUGGCUUCUUUCAUUUAGCACAGUGCUUCUCAACCUUUCUUUCAUCAUCCGCACCUUCCCCAAGGGGAAAAAUUAUAUUUAAUUAAAAUUCUCCCAAAAGACAGAAAUUAUAUACUGAGGAAUAUGAUUUUGUCAGGUUGAGUUGAGCUUUGGAAAACCGCAAAUUAUUGUAAUAGCUUAGAAGUUUUUGCCCCCAACUUUCUCCCUUUUAGGGUUCAUAUCAUUUGGUGGAGAAUGUAGGACUUAGGGUAAUUUUAUUAUNNNNNNNNNNNUAUAAUAUUUUUGGCUGUACCACGUGGCAUGUGGGACCUUAGUUUUCCGAGCCAGGGAUCAAAUCCACUUGCCGUGCCUUGGAAGCAUGGAGUCUUAACUGCUGGGCACCAGGAAAGUCCCAGCAUAAUGUUGAGGUCCAUCCAGAUUGUACUUUCCCCUUGAUUGUUGUGUGGUAUUCAAUUAUAUGGAUUUGCUGCAUUUUGUUUAGCCACUCACUAAUUAAUGGGCUUUGGCUAUUAAAGUCCUUGCUCUUAAACACCAUACUGAAACCCUCAGCCCACUCCCCAUUUGAGGAAGAGUCCUUGGGCAUCUCAGUGCUGCUUAGGGAGGAUCAAAUCACCCUCGCUCUCUCAGUAUUCCCAUCCACAGACUGGAGGUAAUAAUCUUUAGGCCACAGGGUUGUCAUGGCAACAAUCUACUGCCCACCGCCUAGUAGAUGGCAACAGCUCAGUGUACGUCAGUGACCCUGUCCACCUCCUCAUCCUUUCCGUGGGGAAAGGUGACCCCUUUGAAAUCUCCCCCGCUGUGCUCCUUCUAGCUCCAGCUUCCUUCUGCGUCUCCACAGAUUAUGUAAUGUCUGACAUUAUUAUUUUCUUCUUUUUCUCUGGUGUUAUUCAGGUCAAACCCAACAUUGUUCUUUAACAGGAAUCUCAGCUAUUUCUUUCCUCCUGGCACUUGUCUCCUGGUNNNNNNNNNNNNNNNNNNNNNNNNNNNNNNNNNNNNNNNNNNNNNNNNNNNNNNNNNNNNNNNNNNNNNNNNNNNNNNNNNNNNNNNNNNNNNNNNNNNUUUAACAGGAAUCUCAGCUAUUUCUUUCCUCCUGGCACUUGUCUCCUGGUCUCAGCGGUUGACACAUUUCCAAGGACCAAUUGAUUUCAUCUGCUUCUAAGAAACUAGGCCUCCUGCAGGGCGGGGUGGGGGCAGGUGGGUAGGGCUGUGCAUGAGGAUGCUGCUGUAAAGUGAGCACUGGGCUGCGAGUCCAGAGGCCGUGCUUCAGGCCAGCUGGGCUGAGCGGUCCAGGCCCACCCCCACAGGCAUUUGUAUGAACUUCUGCAAAAGGUGUUCUCGUUAUACAGGCUGGCGUCACAGGAUCAUAAAGAGCAAAUCAGAAACUGACUUUGAAAGUGCCUUGUAGGUGUUGAGGCUGUUGGGG